rnacentral:tRNA from 1 species
UGCCUUGUAAGCAGCAGGUCGCGGGUUCGAAUCCCACCGCCAGCUCCA